UCUGUUGGGUAGGGGAGCGUUGUGUAAGCGGAAGAAGGUGGCUCGAGAGGGUUGCUGGACGUAUCACAAGUGCGAAUGCUGACAUAAGUAACGAUAAAACGAGUGAAAAACUCGUUCGCCGGAAGACCAAGGGUUCCUGUCCAACGUUAAUCGGGGCAGGGUGAGUCGGCCCCUAAGGCGAGGCUGAAAAGCGUAGUCGAUGGGAAACGGGUUAAUAUUCCCGUACUUGGUAAAGCUGCGAUGUGGGGACGGAGAAGGUUAGGUAAGCGGACUGUUGGAAAUGUCCGUUUAAGCAGGUAGUUGGAAAGGGUAGGCAAAUCCGCUCUUUCAUACAACAACGAGACGUGAUGACGAGGCUCUACGGAGCUGAAGUUACCGAUACCCAGCUUCCAGGAAAAGCCACUAAGCGAAAGGCUUUACUAAACCGUACUGAAAACCGACACAGGUGGUCAGGUAGAGAAUACUCAGGCGCUUGAGAGAACUCGGGUGAAGGAACUAGGCAAAAUAGCACCGUAACUUCGGGAGAAGGUGCGCUUACAGUAAUUGUAGUCCCUCGCGGAUGAAGGUGAAGUAAGUCGAAGAUACCAGCUGGCUGCAACUGUUUAUUAAAAACACAGCACUCUGCAAACACGAAAGUGGACGUAUAGGGUGUGAUGCCUGCCCGGUGCUGGAAGGUUAAUUGAUGGUGUUAUCGAAAGAGAAGCUCCUGAUCGAAGCCCCAGUAAACGGCGGCCGUAACUAUAACGGUCCUAAGGUAGCGAAAUUCCUUGUCGGGUAAGUUCCGACCUGCACGAAUGGCAUAAUGAUGGCCAGGCUGUCUCCACCCGAGACUCAGUGAAAUUGAAAUCGCCGUGAAGAUGCGGUGUACCCGCGGCUAGACGGAAAGACCCCGUGAACCUUUACUAUAGCUUGACACUGAACAUUGAAUUUUGAUGUGUAGGAUAGGUGGGAGCCUUUGAAGCAGUGACGCCAGUCAUUGUGGAGGCGACCUUGAAAUACCACCCUUUAACGUUUGAUGUUCUAACGAAGUGCCUGAAACGGGUACUCGGACAGUGUCUGGUGGGUAGUUUGACUGGGGCGGUCUCCUCCCAAAGCGUAACGGAGGAGCACGAAGGUUUGCUAAUGACGGUCGGACAUCGUCAGGUUAGUGCAAUGGUAUAAGCAAGCUUAACUGCGAGACGGACAAGUCGAGCAGGUGCGAAAGCAGGUCAUAGUGAUCCGGUGGUUCUGAAUGGAAGGGCCAUCGCUCAACGGAUAAAAGGUACUCCGGGGAUAACAGGCUGAUACCGCCCAAGAGUUCAUAUCGACGGCGGUGUUUGGCACCUCGAUGUCGGCUCAUCACAUCCUGGGGCUGAAGUAGGUCCCAAGGGUAUGGCUGUUCGCCAUUUAAAGUGGUACGCGAGCUGGGUUUAGAACGUCGUGAGACAGUUCGGUCCCUAUCUGCCGUGGGCGUUGGAUGAUUGAUUGGGGCUGCUCCUAGUACGAGAGGACCGGAGUGGACGCAUCACUGGUGUUCCAGUUGUCUCGCCAGAGGCAUUGCUGGGUAGCUAAAUGCGGAAGAGAUAAGUGCUGAAAGCAUCUAAGCACGAAACUUGCCAAGAGAUGAGUCAUCCCUGACUUUAAGUCAGUAAGGGUUGUUGUAGACUACGACGUAGAUAGGUUGGGUGUGUAAGUGUAGUGAUACAUUGAGCUAACCAAUACUAAUUGCCCGAGAGGCUUAACCAU
rnacentral:rRNA from 1 species